rnacentral:rRNA from 1 species
AACGAACGCUGGCGGCAGGCCUAACACAUGCAAGUCGAGCGGAAACGAUCCUAGCUUGCUAGGAGGCGUCGAGCGGCGGACGGGUGAGUAACGCGUGAGAAUCUACCCAUGAGUGGGGGACAACCCGGGGAAACUCGGGCUAAUACCGCAUACGCCCUACGGGGUAAAGCAGGGGACCUUCGGGCCUUGCGCUGAUGGAUGAGCUCGCGUCGGAUUAGCUUGUUGGUGAGGUAAAGGCUCACCAAGGCGGCGAUCCGUAGCUGGUCUGAGAGGAUGAUCAGCCACACCGGGACUGAGACACGGCCCGGACUCCUACGGGAGGCAGCAGUGGGGAAUCUUGGACAAUGGGGGCAACCCUGAUCCAGCCAUGCCGCGUGUGUGAAGAAGGCCUUCGGGUUGUAAAGCACUUUCAGCAGGGAGGAAGGCUUACCCCUAAUACGGGUGAGUACUUGACGUUACCUGCAGAAGAAGCACCGGCUAAUUUCGUG